GCCGGAGUGGCGAAAUGGCAGACGCGCACGCUUCAGGGGCGUGUGAUAGCAAUAUCGUGGAGGUUCAAGUCCUCUCUCCGGCA
rnacentral:tRNA from 1 species